UACAGAGGGUGCGAGCGUUAAUCGGAAUGACUGGGCGUAAAGGGCGCGUAGGCGGUUAUAUAAGUUAGAUGUGAAAGGCCUGGGCUUAACCUAGGUUGGUCAUUUAAUACUGUAUGACUAGAGAGGAGUAGAGGGCAGUAGAAUUCCCGGAGUAGCGGUGAAAUGCGUAGAUAUCGGGAGGAAUACCGGUGGCGAAGGCGACUGUCUGGACUCUUACUGACGCUGAGGCGCGAAAGCGUGGGGAGCGAACAGG
rnacentral:rRNA from 1 species